UACGUAGGGUCCGAGCGUUGUCCGGAAUUAUUGGGCGUAAAGGGCUCGUAGGCGGGAUGGCAAGUCGGUCGUGAAAUCCUUCGGCUCAACCGAAGAACGUCGGCCGAUACUGCCGUUCUUGAGGGAUGCAGAGGAGAUUGGAAUUCCCGGUGUAGCGGUGAAAUGUGUAGAGAUCGGGAGGAACACCGGUGGCGAAGGCGGGUCUCUGGGCAUCUCCUGACGCUGAGGCGCGAAAGCGUGGGGAGCAAACGGG
rnacentral:rRNA from 1 species